AGUACUGCUCCAUCUUAUGACACCGUACGUGAUGCGGGCUUCCUGGAGAAUGACUGGGUCAUCCAACCAUUUCAUACACUCUUUCGUUCUUGGCAUUACAUAUUAGCAACAUUUCAGAACAGUAAGUUUACUGAUUUACACAAAUCCUUCACCUCGCAUUUACUUCUCCAUCUGAACAACAUGCACAAAUGCGGGCACCCCCAUAAUGCUUUGCGCAUGACGUCAUCGUUCAGUAAUGGCUGUCUGGUGGCAUCGAAGGUCAAAAACAUACGCCAUCAUGCUGUGUGGGUCUAGGGCAAGGUCGAGCAACCACUUGGGACAUCAGGCCCGAGCACGCCGACGUGCAGUCGUCAGCGUGUGCGACCACUCCGACAUCCGAGUCGAUAUUGGCGACGCUGCUGUAGUCCACGCAAGGGCACGUGACUCGCGCGGUCGGCCAGGAUGAGUGCCCUUGACAGUGGGCCACCCAGAGACUGCAGCAACUGUGCGGGAAGUGGGAUGUGGAGAUUUGUAGCACCCGCCGUGAUUUCCUUUCUCUCCCAAAGCCGAGGACAUCUGGCGAUUUCCUACUCGGUGCAGAUGGGGGAGUAGGAAAGCGAGUGCGGUAGAAUGCCAAACAGAAAUACAGACGAGAAACGUGGCUGGUUAUCAAAAGAAAAAGGAAACGUGCUGUAAUAGACUGCAUCCUUAUCGACUGUUGAAUGCCGCAGUCCAUUAUGACGUUAUAUCUAUUAAUAGGAUGCUGACAAAGGACGCUCGCCUUCACCAGUUGCUGAAACGCACGAGCAUGCAGAACUUGUUUGUAUUUACUUUAUGUAUGAGCGGGUGUGUCUUGUGAUAGAAGCGUGACUGUUAUAUGCGAAUAUUGGUACAUGGCUGUUCGAGAUUCAGUUUACUUCUCUUUGUCAUUUCUGUAAAGCGCUUUGAGCAACUAAUUGGAAGAGCGCUAUAUAAAUGUUCAUUAUUUUUAUUAAACGCAUGCCUAAGCAUUUUGUUUCGUGCGUGCGUGUGUGUAUACGCGCGGGCGUGCAUAAAUACGUGUGCGUGUGUUCUAUCGUGAGGGCAGCACGUCUCUCCAGGUGAUCGUAACAGGUUAUGCAACAGCUGGGGACGAACAUAAAAGAAGCUGGGUCAGCACCCCCUUCCCCAACACACUGGGCUGUAGGAGAAAGGGACACAAAUGGUAGAUGGAGGGGGGGAUGGUGUUUUACGCCGAGCCAGGACCAGCCUUGUAAACAGAAACCACAUACAACGAAAUAACAGCGUGUCCGAGACGAGAUCUGAACCCACGACAUCCAAUCCUGACCUUUAUUGGUGACAGACUUUAAACAUUGCGCCAUCGAGCCACCUUAGUGGUAGAGGGGCAGUCCACGCCAUUUUCUUUGGUUUGUUCCACACAAUCUUGGCUCAAGACAAAUAGGGACUGCACCUGCCAAUGCCAGGCCACUAAAAAUGAUUACAAAAACAUCUACGCACGCACCCACCCACAACCGCACCUCCCCUCCCCCAACGCCUACACAAUAAAACAAGUACACAAAUGUAUUAUGUGGUCUACUAGGAAUUUCAUGGGCGUGCCCCUACAAACCAUCUCAUCCGAUCAGUCCCCGACCGCAGAGCAGUAGUAACACGCGGAGUGGUGGCUGAGGGGCGAACUCACACAUCGUCUGCGGCACGCUGCAUUUGCCGGACGCCGCAACACGUCGAGGUGGCUGCAGCAAAGCAAGCCAACGCCAGCGCAUUCUGCUACCGUGGAGCUGGGAUAAAACUGCCCUUGUUUACACGCCUAAACGUAAACAAGUCUGACAUUUCACGGCGGCCAACAAGCGGUCGAGCUGCAUUUCUGGCCGAUGAGGCCAGAGCGGAUACAUAUUUGGUCGUUGUUUCACAGCAUCCGUGCGACUGAAAACGGAAAUUACUGCACACGUACAAAUUAACAGACACAGUUAAACGUGCUUCAUUCUCCUCCCAUUCUCCCCACCCUUAUUGAAAGAGAAUGAAUCUGAUUGGUAAGGUAAGUACAGCUACAAGCCUCUAGAGGCUGAGAAUUUUCUCAAAUUAAAAAAAAAAACUCAUCACAAGGUACCACUGAGGUGGCACUGAAAAAAUGCUUCAAACACAACAAAUUCCAUUUCUUAGGUCAAGUAAUUAGGGGAAAAUUAAAAAGAGGGAGGGGUGAAGGAAAACGAUGACCACCACAAUUCAAGGGAGAGCAUCUUCAUGUUUACAUGCACUACCUGGCAACGAGUUCACUUUAUCCUUUAAAGAGAUAAAAAAAAUAGUUUUCCCUCGGCGCUGUCUUUUUAGAAAAUGGUCUUACUUUAUUUCCUACGCUGCCACCUCUAUCAAGAAUAAAAGCUUCUGCCUGCAUACACACACGAUAAAAACAAUCCAUCCCAGCUAUUUAGAAUAAUCAUACAAUGGCUGUAUAGCAUCCAUCACUCCAAUAAAGUGACAAGUGACAGGUAUUCUUCACAUAUUGUGUAAUUAUUUUUCUCAAGGAAAAGCCAUCACAAAUCUUUCUUCUCAAAGAAAAGCAUCCAGUAUAACAAAAAUGCAAUUCAAAUGGGUUUCAUAAUUUCACAGGAUCAACUAGGUGGGGCUUUAAAACCUUUUUCUAAACAUUUAAAUGCAAAUUCCUUUUACAGCAAUCUUCACAAAGUGCAUUCUAUUUGUUAAAAUGCAGCUACAAUAGCUUGUACAGCAGCAUCUUCACAGCAUAUCUGCAUAUAUUCUGAUUUCAACAUUCAACUCAGUGCUGCACAACAACAAACUGUUAACCCCAUAGCUUUGGCUCGUGGAGAGGAAUGAUAGACAAAGAGGUGGAUAAAUUAUUUAUUCUUACAGAUGCUGCCAAAAUUAUGACUCUUCGUCCCCAUUAACCCACAUUCUGCCCAAAAAAACUCCUGUUGAUAUGAAAUGCACAUUCAGCAAAUCUGUUCCCUCUAGUUUCCCUUCAGCUCUUGCACUCUUUCAUGCACGUACGCACAAAUACACACUAAAAUCUCACUUUCUCAAAUUAUCAAUUCCAUUUUCGAAAAUUUUAAAGAUGUAGGUCUGUUGGAUAUUUCCUCCACCUUCAAUUGCAGAGUUUAAUAACUUAAAUGUAAUGGGUCACACUUAAAAUACCAAAAAUGAAUUGCAUAAUGAGAUAUAUGAUAUGGCACUUUCGGCCACAUAUAAAUUCUUAAGUAGUAAGGUACUUAAAAGUAUGAAUUGCUUCUACUAAACAUAAAUCCUCAAUGAAAAAGUCAGCAAGUUCAAGCACUGAAUAAAAUCAUUGCCUGUGGUAUUUUCAACAGUUACUGACCAGGGACCUGAACACUCUACAUUUUUUUUCCAGCGAGUUCUCGGUUAAAAAAAAUAAAUGAGAUCUCAAAAAAAGCUGCAUUUGCUAGUAGACUGCUGUCAAUGACUGUGAUCAUACAAUGAUUUCUCAGUUAACAAUUGCUUACUAGAGUAUCCCUUGCAGUUUAUUCUCAGCUGUUAGCAUUAUAUGAAAGAUUUUUAAAAAAAAGCAAAACAAAGAUGAGUACCAUCUUCAAAAUCAUCAUUACACAAUGCAUCACUGCAGAAUAGAAAGCAGCACCUGCAAUGGAAUGACCUUAAAAUAUUUAGUGAAACUAUGACACAAAGGAUUAUACUAAAUUUAAAACUGGCUUAACAAGCUACAAUUUUCAACUGAAGCAGCAGAAAAGGGGGUUGAGUAAAUCAAUGGGAAGGCAUCUGUUCUAUAACUCCUCUUAACCUCUCAGGCUGGCAUAAAAAGCAAGCAGGAGGUGUCAGAGAUAAAAGAUCCAAUUUGUUAAAUGCAAGCUUAAAAAAAAAAAA